rnacentral:lncRNA from 1 species
AUGAUUAAUCUAUUUUAUCUAUAUUUAACUAAUAUCCUACAAAAACCAAUUUCUAUCCAUUCCAUAUAGUUCUACUCUUCACUAUACAGCGCCCUCGCAAAUAUAAUAUUUAUAACAUGGCUUGCCAAAAUUCACUUUAUUAUUUCAAUCAACUUUUCAUCCAUUGAUUCAUAUUGUAUCUCCUACUCAUCUUCAUCCACCUCAGUUUUUGGAGACAAUUCAAUCUUUGUAUCAUCUACUCUAUCUAAUUCUAUCUUCAAUUGGGCCAUUAAAUCUUCAUCAUACGUUUCCAAUUUCCAAAUCUGGGAUUCCAAUUAUAAGAUCUUGAUCUCCCUACUCUCAAAUUGCUUUUGUUAUUACUCCACUUGUCUCUUUAAUACUUCCACUAUUAAUUUUAUUGGUGUGGGAUUCUCCCCCUCUUCCUUAGUAAUAAAUCAUUUUUUAAUUUCUUCAUAGUACCUUUCAAAUUAUCAAUUUUUAUCUAUAAUAUUUCCUUUUAUUGUAUCCAAAGCUCAACCAAUUUUUUGCAUUCUAGCUCCAAUUCUAUCACUUU